AUUUAGUGGUGAAGAAGGAUGCAGGCUCUGGAGAAAACUGCCUAAGUAUAAAUCCUGGUUCUGCUGUGCAAACUUCAAGGCAGUAGGCUGCUUCAAGAUGAAGCUGAACAUCUUUUACCCAGCUACUGGCUGCCAGAAACUCAUUGAAGUAGACGAUGAACUCAAACUUCAUACCUUUUAUGAGAAGUGUAUGGCCACAGACGCUGCUGAUGCUCCUCUGAGUGAAGAAUAGAAGGGUUACGUGGUCCAAAUCAGUGGUGCUGAUGACAGACAAGGAUUCCCCAUGAAGCAGGAGGUCCUGACCCACAGUCGUGUCCACCUGCUGCUGAGUGAGGGGUGUUCCUGCUACAGACCAGGGAGGACCGGAGAAAGAAAGUGCAGAGCUGUUCAGGGUUGCCUUGUGGAUGCCAGUCUCAGUGCUCUCAACUUGGUCAUUGUGAAAAAGGGGAGAAGGACCUUCCUGGGCUUACUGAUACUACUACGCCUUCUCACGGGGAGUCCAAAAGAGCUAGGAGAAUCCACAAACUCUUCAGUCUCUCUAAAGAAGAUGAUGCCUACUAGUAUGUUGUGAGAAAGCUCCUAAAUAAAAAAGUUUAAGUCAAAUUGGAGCAACAACAUGCUGUACCAUACCAUGCUUCUCCUGGUAUUUCCAUCUUGCUGGAUUGAUGAUAUAUCAGGCAGCCCAAUUUUUCCCAAAGGAUAGGUGCACAUUCAAAAUAUUAAACCCUUAACAAAGACAAAUGAGGAAGCCAUCUGGGAUCCCUCCAUUACUUCCCAAUUUCACUGAAUCUCUUAAUUUAGCCUUUGACCAAUGAUUUGCUCAUUUCAGUGUCAUACAAGUUCUUUUUUGUUUUUGUUUUUGUUUUUGUUUUACUCCACCUGACAGUCUGCCUACCUCUUUCUACAUUGGAAUGUAAAAAACAAUUUCAAGGAGUAAAACCGUCUCCCAUAACCUAUCUCUGCUAAUGCCAACCAUAUUGAUUGCUUGACCUUUGCUAAGUCUACUGACUAGAUGGUGUAUAACGUUUGGGGAUUAAAGAUGCUGACUUAUUUCUUUUCUAAGUCAAACUUAAACUCUGACUGCCCAGAACAAAUCCUGCACACUGUCUCCACCUGUCCCUGCUUCUCUCUGACAUUUGGACACCACUUAUUGAUUGAAUUUUUAGCAGCUGUCAUUCAAGGACACCUAGCUUUAGCUGGGCCAGCACUAGAAUAGCAGACUCCCGAUGGCCUAAAAAUGACCCACUCUGACACAAAUGUGUAUAACUUUUCUGCAAAAAUAAAUGGAUUCAAUGA